UAAAAAAAAAAAAAAAAAAAAGCCUGUUGGACCAGGAGGGUAAAGAAAGGAAGGAUCCUCUGUGGCCCUUUGGAUUAAUUUUGAGAUCAGAAGCUGAUGGAAUUGCCCAAGAGACACUUCCCAGGGCCUGGAUGGAGACUCCUGAAACAGGUGUUAAGAUAAAAGCCUUUCCUGCUUGGAAUAGCCUGAAAAUGAGUGUCUGAAUAUGAAUCUAACCCACAUGAAUCAAUCCCAAACCUGCAUCUGUGAACACUCCAGUCCUGAGGUGAUAGGAGCAAAGGCUGAUGACAGCUGGAUUCAUUAUCCCUCCUUAUUUUUCCCUCCCUUCAUUGUUCCUCUAUGAGGGUUCUUGGAAUCAAGGAGACCUAACAUUUAUUGAGUCCU